GGGCACCACCUCCAUGGGGACAUUAUUAUUAUGGGGUCUUCCCUUUGGGGACACCAUCUCUAGGGGGACAUCACUUCCAUGGGGACAUCUCUGCGGGGAUGCCAUCUCUAUGGGGACACCUCUGUGGGGACGUCUCUGUGGGAACCCCACUUCCAUGGGGACAUCACUAUAGGGACAUCUUUAUGGGGACAUCUCUAUGGGGACAUCUCUAUGGGGACAUCUCUAUGGGGACUCCACCACCACCGUGGGGACAUCUCAGUUGGGGACGUCUUUAUGGGGGCAUCUCCUCCAUGGGGACAUUAUUAUGGGGUCUUCCCUUUGGGGACACCAUCUCUAUGGGGACAUCAUUUCCAUGGGGACAUCUCAAUGGGGCCAUCUUCAUGGGGACAUCUCUAUGGGGACAUCACCUCCAUAGGGACAUCUCUAUGGGGACUUCCCUGUGGGGACACCACCACCUCUGUGGGGACAUGUCAGUGGGGACAUCCUUCCCGUGGGGUCAUCUCCAUGGGGACAUUUCUAUGGGGACAUCUUCAUGGGGACGUCUCCAUGGGGACAUCACUUCCAUGGGGACAUCUCUAUGGGGACAUUAUUGUUAUGGGGUCUUCCCUUUGGGGACACGAUCUCUAUGGGGACACUUCUAUGGGGACAUCAUUUCCAUGGGGACAUCUCUAUGGGGACACUACUUCCAUGGGGACAUGAUUAUUAUGGGGUCUUCCCUUUAUGGACUUCAUCUCUAUGGGGACAACUCUAUGGGGACACCACCUCUACAGGGACGUUAUUAUGGGGUCUUCCUUUUGGGGACAUCACCUCCAUGGGGAUAUCUCAAUGGGGAAAUCUUCAUGGGGACAUUAUUAUGGGAUCUUCCCUAUAUGGACUCCAUCUCUAUGGGGACAACUCUAUGGGGACAACUCUAUGGGGACAACUCUAUGGGGACACCACCCCUAUGGGGACGUUAUUAUGGGGUCUUCCUUUUGGGGACAUCACCUCCAUGGGGAUAUCUCAAUGGGGACAUCUUCAUGGGGUCUUCUCUAUGGGGACACCACCUCCAUGGGGACAUUAUUAUUAUGGGAUCUUCCUUUUGGGGACACGAUCUCUAUGGGGACACUUCUAUGGGGACACCAUCUCUAUGGGGACAACUCUAUGGGGACACCACCUCUAUGGGGACACCACCUCUAUGGGGACGUUAUUAUGGGGUCUUCCUUUUGGGGACAUCACGUCCAUGGGGUCAUCUCUAUGGGGGCACCACCUCCAUGGGAACAUUAUUAUGGGGUCUUCCCUCUGUGGACCCCAUCUCUAUGGGGACACCUCUAUGGGGACAUCACUUCCAUGGGGACAUCUUCAUGGGAUUUGGG
rnacentral:lncRNA from 1 species